UAACCUAGUGUGUGACUGAGUCUGUGAGGGAGCGAGUGAGUGUGUGAGGUGUUGAGGUGAGGAGGAGGCAGGAAAAGGAGCUCCCUCAGGAACGAGGGACAAAGGGGGUGUGAGGCCCCUAGGCCGCGGAACCCGAGCGACAGGAAGCCACCCGAGCCGGGCUACCGGGUAGGGGGAAGGCCCGCGUAGUCCUCACAGGGCUUUAGAGCUGAAGUCGGCCCUACAGCCCCGGGCCGUCGGCUUCCUACUUCCUCGACCUCCCCGGCCCCCGGGACUGAGGACUGGCUCUGCGUGGGGAGGAGGGCAAACGGACUGGAGCGGCUGCCGGUUGUCUCGCAACUCCACUGCUGAGGAACUCUCGUUUCUUCCCUGGCUCCUUCACCCUCAUGUAGGAGGGUGCCGAGGAGUCGGGAGGGAGGAGGAGCCUGCGCCGCGGUCUCUUCCCUCCCAACCCCCUUCUACGAGCGCUUUGGUAGGCGUGGGAUUGGGGUUGGGGGGAGGGUGGGGGUUACUUUUUGGAGUGCUGGGGAACUUUUCCCCCCUUUUGAGGCCAGGGGAAAGGGGAUGCCCAAUCCAGAGAGACAUGGGGGCAAGAAGGACGGGAGUGGAGGAGCUUCUGGAACUUUGCAGCCGUCGUCGGGAGGUGGCAGCUCCAACAGCAGAGAGCGUCACCGCUUGGUGUCGAAGCACAAGCGGCACAAGUCCAAGCACUCCAAAGACAUGGGGUUGGUGACCCCCGAAGCAGCACCUUUGGGUACAAUGAUCAAACCUUUGGUGGAGUAUGAUGACAUCAGCUCUGAUUCAGACACCUUCUCUGACGACAUAGUCUUGAAAACAGACAGGCGGGAGAAUGAUGAACGUCGUGGGACUGAUCGAAGUGACCGCUUGCACAAACAUCGUCACCACCAGCACAGACGUUCCCGGGAUUUACUAAAAAGUAAACAGACAGAAAAAGAAAAAAACCAGGAAGUUUCCAGCAAGUCGGGAUCGAUGAAGGACCGGAUAUCAGGAAGUUCAAAGCGUUCAAAUGAGGAAAAUGAUGACUAUGGGAAGGCACAGAUUUCCAAAAGCAGCAGCAACAAGGAAUCCAGGUCAUCCAAACUGCACAAGGAGAAGGCCCGGAAAGAACGUGAGUUGAAGGCUGGGCACAAAGACCGGAGUAAAAGUCAUCGGAAAAGGGAAACACCCAAAAGUUACAAAACAGUGGACAGCCCCAAACGGAGAUCCAGGAGUCCCCACAGGAAAUGGUCUGACAGCCCCAAGCAAGAUGAUAGCCCUUCAGGAGCUUCGUAUGGCCAAGAUUAUGACCUUAGUCCCCCAAGAUCUCACACCUCCAGCAAUUAUGACUCGUACAAGAAAAGUCCUGGAAGUACCUCAAGAAGGCAGUCUAUUAGCCCACCUUACAAGGAGCCUUCGGCCUACCAGUCCAGCACCCGGUCACCCAGUCCCUACAGUAGACGGCAGAGGUCUGUGAGUCCCUACAGCCGGAGACGGUCGUCCAGUUAUGAAAGGAGUGGCUCUUACAGUGGGAGGUCACCCAGUCCCUAUGGUCGAAGGAGGUCCAGUAGCCCUUUCACCAGCAAACGUUCUCUGAGUCGGAGUCCACUCCCCAGGAAAUCCUUGAAGUCUAGAAGUAGAAGUCCCGCAUAUUCAAGACACUCAUCUUCUCAUAGUAAAAAGAAGAGAUCCGGGUCACGUAGUCGACAUUCCAGUAUCUCACCUGUCAGGCUUCCAUUGAACUCCAGCUUGGGAGCUGAACUCAGUAGGAAGAAGAAGGAAAGAGCAGCAGCUGCUGCUGCAGCAAAAAUGGAUGGAAAGGAAUCCAAGGGUUCACCUAUUAUUUUGGCUAGAAAAGAGAACAGUUCAGUAGAAGCUAAGGAUACAGGUUUGGAGUCUAAAAAGUUACCCAGAGGUUUAAAAUUGGAAAAAUCUGCCCCAGAUACUGAACUAGUGAAUGUAACACAUCUAAAUGCAGAGGCCAAAAAUUCUUUAGAUACAGGGAAAGUAAAGGUGGAUGAGAACUCUGAGAAGCAUCCUGUUCUUAAAGAUUUGAAAGUAGAGGGAACAAAAGACUCUAAACCAAUGGUGUUGAAGGAGGAGAUUGUUACUCCAAAAGAGACAGAGACAUCAGAAAAGGAGACCCUUCCGCCUCUCCCCACAGUUUCUUCUCCACCUCCUUUACCAACUACUACCCCUCCACCUCAGACACCCCCUUUGCCACCUUUACCUCCACUACCAGCUGUUCCACAGCAACCACCUCUGCCUCCUCCCCAACCAGCAUUUAGUCAGGUUCCUGUUUCUAGCACUUCGGCUUUGCCCCCUUCUACUCACCCAAGGACAUCUGCUCUGUCCUCUCAGGCAAAUUCUCAGCCCCCUGUACAGGUUUCUAUGAAGACUCAAUUAUCUGUAACAGCUGCUAUUCCACACCUAAAAACAUCAACGUUGCCUCCUCUGCCCCUCCCACCCUUACUACUUGGAGAAGAUGACAUGGAUAGUCCAAAAGAAACUCUGCCUUCAAAACCAGUAAAGAAGGAGAAGGAACAAAGGCCACGUCACUUACUCACGGACCUCCCUCUCCCUCCAGAGCUUCCUGGUGGGGAUCCAUCUCCUCCAGACUCUCCAGAACCAAAGGCAGUCACACCACCUCAACAACCAUAUAAAAAAAGACCAAAAAUUUGUUGUCCUCGUUACGGAGAAAGAAGACAAACAGAAAGUGAUUGGGGAAAACGCUGUGUGGACAAGUUUGACAUUAUUGGGAUUAUUGGAGAGGGAACCUAUGGCCAAGUAUAUAAAGCCAAGGACAAAGACACAGGAGAGCUAGUGGCCCUGAAGAAGGUGAGACUAGACAAUGAGAAAGAAGGCUUCCCAAUCACAGCCAUUCGUGAGAUCAAAAUUCUUCGUCAGCUAAUCCACCGAAGUGUUGUGAACAUGAAGGAAAUUGUCACAGAUAAACAAGAUGCACUGGAUUUCAAGAAGGACAAAGGUGCCUUUUACCUUGUAUUUGAGUAUAUGGACCAUGACUUAAUGGGACUGCUAGAAUCUGGUUUGGUGCACUUUUCUGAGGAUCAUAUCAAGUCAUUCAUGAAACAGCUAAUGGAAGGAUUGGAUUACUGUCAUAAAAAGAAUUUCCUGCAUCGGGAUAUUAAGUGUUCUAACAUUUUGCUGAACAACAGCGGGCAGAUCAAACUAGCAGAUUUUGGACUUGCUCGGCUCUAUAACUCUGAAGAAAGUCGCCCUUAUACAAAUAAAGUCAUUACUCUGUGGUACCGACCUCCAGAACUUCUGCUGGGAGAGGAGCGUUAUACACCAGCCAUAGAUGUUUGGAGCUGUGGAUGCAUCCUUGGGGAACUGUUUACAAAGAAGCCUAUAUUUCAAGCCAACCUGGAACUGGCUCAGCUAGAACUGAUCAGUCGACUCUGUGGUAGCCCUUGUCCAGCUGUGUGGCCUGAUGUUAUCAAGCUGCCCUAUUUCAAUACCAUGAAACCGAAGAAGCAAUAUAGAAGGCGUCUACGAGAAGAAUUCUCUUUCAUUCCUUCAGCAGCACUGGAUUUACUGGACCACAUGCUGACACUAGAUCCUAGCAAACGUUGCACAGCUGAACAGACCCUACAGAGUGACUUCCUUAAAGAUGUUGACCUCAGUAAAAUGGAUCCUCCAGAUCUCCCCCACUGGCAGGAUUGCCAUGAAUUAUGGAGUAAGAAACGGCGACGGCAGCGACAAAGUGGUGUUGUGGUAGAAGAGCCACCUCCAUCCAAAACCUCUCGAAAAGAAACUACCUCAGGGACAAGUGCUGAGCCUGUGAAGAAUAGCAGUCCAGCACCACCUCAGCCUGCUCCUGGCAAGGUGGAGCCUGGGGCUGGGGAUGCAAUAGGCCUCGGUGACAUCACACAACAAUUGAAUCAAAGUGAAUUGGCAGUGUUAUUGAACCUGCUGCAGAGCCAAACUGACCUAAGCAUCCCUCAAAUGGCACAGCUGCUUAAUAUCCACUCCAACCCUGAGAUACAGCAGCAGCUGGAGGCCCUGAACCAAUCCCUCAAUGCCCUAACGGAAGCCACUUCCCAGCAGCAGGACUCGGAGCCCAUGGCCCCAGAGGAGUCUUUGAAGGAGGCAACCCCUGCUCCAGUGGUCCAGCCGUCAGCAGAACAGAAGACCCCUGAAGCUUCAAGCACACCAGCUGACAUGCAGAAUAUGUUGGCAGUUCUCUUGAGUCAGCUGAUGAAAACCCAGGAGCCAGCAGGCAACCUGGAGGAAAACAACAGUGACAAGAACAGUGGGCCACAGGGGCCCCGAAGAACUCCCACAAUGCCACAGGAGGAGGCAGCAGCAUGUCCUCCUCACAUUCUUCCACCAGAGAAGAGGCCCCCUGAGCCCCCUGGACCUCCACCGCCGCCACCUCCACCCCCUCUGGUUGAAGGCGAUCUUUCCAGCGCCCCCCAGGAGUUGAACCCAGCCGUGACAGCCGCCUUGCUGCAACUUUUAUCCCAGCCUGAAGCAGAGCCUUCUGGCCGCCUGCCACAUGAGCACCAGGCCAUGAGACCAAUGGAAUACUCCACCCGACCCCAUCCCAACAGGACUUAUGGAAACACUGAUGGGCCUGAAACAGGGUUCAGUGCCACUGACACUGAUGAACGCAACUCUGGUCCAGCUGUGACAGAAUCCUUGGCCCAGACCCUGGUGAAGAACAGGACCUUCUCAGGCUCUGUGAGCCACCUUGGGGAGUCCAGCAGUUACCAGGGUACAGGGUCAGUGCAGUUUCCAGGGGACCAGGACCUCCGUUUUGCCAGGGUCCCCUUAGCAAUACACUCAGUGGUCGGGCAACCAUUCCUGAAGGCUGAGGGAAGCAGCAACUCUGUGGCACAUGCAGAGACCAAAUUGCAAAACUAUGGGGAGCUGGGGCCUGGAACCAGUGGAGCCGGCAGCUCAGGAGCAGGCCUUAACUGGGGGGUCCCAGCUCAGUCUUCUGCUUAUGGAAAACUCUAUCGGGGUCCUACAAGAGUCCCGCCAAGAGGGGGAAGAGGGAGAGGAGUUCCUUACUAACCCAGAGAGACUUCAGUGUCCUGAAAGAUUCCUUCCCUGUCCAUCUUCCAUCCAGUCCUCUGAACCUUUAAUGAAAUCAUUUGCCAGAGUGAGAUAGCAGUAGCAGCAGGAGGGAUGGCCCCUGAGGAAUGUGGUGACACCGAUCAGUCACCUGAUAUCCGGAGCCCUGGCAAAUUCAGUGUCUUUCACAGACUCUAGCCAGACAUGGAAAAGGAGACCCAGAAGUGAGAAAUCAGUUGAAUUCUGUCCUGGUGUUGCUUUGUGUUCCUGGAUGUGAAGAAUUCGUGGGAGCACAGGGAAAGAGAGAGGGGAAGUAAGAGAAACACCGAUCCACUGCUCCACCUAUCCAUGCACUCACUCAUUGGCUGGCUCUUGCAUGUGCCCAGACCAGAGAUUGAACCCACCACCUUGACAGAUUUCGACAAGGCUCCACCAACUGAGUUACCUGGCCAGGGCGCAUGCACUAUUAUUAUUUCCAUUUCAUAGAUGAGGAAAAUUGGGCUCACAAGAAGAGCAAGACUGAAGUGGGUGGAGCCCAUAAGAAAUCUUCCCACAGACGUGAGACCUGGAAUGGGAAAAGGAGGAUCCAGCCUUUGGUUGUGUGUCAGCGAAGAAGUGGGCAAGGUCCUCCUUGGAAAUGUGAAGGUUAAUGUAUGUUUGACAGGUCUAAGGAAAUUGAGGCCCAUGACAAAGAGCGAGCUCUCUAUUCCGAAGGGGUAAGGGAGGUGCAGCACCUUUUUUGGGUUUUGGUUGUGGUGAGGGUAACUACAGUUCAUUUGCACACGUACUUACUACACCUUGGGCAGGCUCAGUGUCUGGAACGUGGUUCAGGGGGCAAAUAGAGUGGAAGCAAAAAUGCCGGCCCAGUGUUUAGCCCCGACUUCACCACUGCUCUUUCCCUCCAACUAAGUCAGAAGGAGUGGUGGAAAUCAUUUGGUCUGUCCCUCAGCCUCUGGGCACUGGUUGAAGCUGACAGGUGGAAACCUAGAGUUGGCCCAGACGUGAUGGAUGGUAGAGAUGCCAGUUUGCAGGAGAGAGGGUUUGGCUGCUCUCCUGGGAGCUGUGUCUGGCCAAAGGCUGCCUCCUCCCACCUCUUGCUGGAACCCGCUCUUUUAUAGGCCAUGUCACCAUUGCUCCCUUGGCCUGUCGCAGUGACUGUGGACUUAUAACAACUUUCCCCAUCUACUUAUGGCUCCAGAACCAGGUUGGCCGCACACAUCCCUCUUCUCCAUCUCCCUUGGCCCAUCCAAAAAAUGGCACAUGUUCUCCCAGUGGCAGCCACCAUCCUUACCCAGUAAUUUCAGCCAUGCAGAUAAAUGCUGAGGCCGUCAGCACUAUGUCGUUGAAACGACCAGAGAUACCUAUUCUGCAUGCCUGUCUUUUGGUUGGAAGUUCUUAGACCCAAGGGAGACCGUUCUUUACCAGCUCUUACCCCGCUGAGACUCCUGACUGUCAGAGGUCCUAAAUGUGGCUAGGAGACAGCUCUCUUCCCUUGGAGCCAAAAUGGCUCCUAACCAGGAAAUACCAGGGCUCCUACUCCCUACUCACUCCCUGUUUUUGGCUGCCUCUCUACUCCAGGCCCUGUUCUCUCCUGCCACCACUCCCUUCCCAUUCCUCCUUUCUCCUCUCUCUCUCUCUCUCUCUCUCAGCAAGUUUUUUAUGUGAUUACAGGCACUGCAUGGUAAUUAGUGCUAAACUCAUUUGCACAACUACAGUUAAUUGGCUACAACAAUUAAUUAAUGUGUUGGAAAUUUGGCACUGGAAAAAAAAAGUUUGUCAUCAAAAAAAGGGCAAAAAAUUGUAGAGUAAGGUACCCAUAAAAAUUGAGGGCAGGCUUCAAAAGCCCAGCUGGGCCUCACACUUCAGGCCGGCCUCGGACGCCUUCCCACUCUCAACUUCAACGCAUUUUCUUCCUUCCUCUUUCUUUUUUUUCCUCUUCCUUUUUCCCUCGCACCCUUCCUCUCUCUUCCUCUCUCUUCCCCUCUCUUUCUCUCUCUUUUACAACUUAAGCAAACUCAUUUCCCUGAUAAAAUAUAGCAUGACUAAUGGCUAGAGCAUGUAAAAAUCAUUGGGAAAAUGUCCUUGGAAGACGAAUGCAUUUUCAGCAGAAUAAUUAACUUAAUUAACAAAUUCACAUGCAUAUUCAUCAGGCUAUUAAUGUCUUCUCGGCUCAGCUUGAUGAACAUUGCGGUAAUAACCAUCUCAUUUACAUACUGCAUUCUACUGCGAUCCAAAACAGAGACAACAUACAGGCGUAUACACACACACAUACACUUGCACAAAUACACACAACAUGCCUGGGCCGCCUUGAUUUCCAGGUUGGCUGUGUGUGUGAGAGAGAGAGAGAGGGAGUGUGUGUGUGUGUGUGUGUGUGUGUGUGUAGGAACCCCGACUGGGUGAUGCGAUCUUCAGAGGGUCAUGAGCGAGGUGGGGUAGGGGUGUUCACAUGUGGAUGUCUGAGCGAACUUUAAUUCAUUCUCUCUCUCUGCCUCUUUUUCCUUGUUUCCUUUCCUCUGUGUCAUUUUCUUCUCUCGUGCCGCCCGCCCCCCAGUCUCUCUAGGGAAAAACUUGGUAUCUGUGCCAACUUUUUCCCUCCUCCCCUCCUCCCUCUCUCUCCUCCUUCCCCACUUCCAACUGCUGCCAGCCGGCAUCAGCACCGAAUUGCCAUCUCCUUGAGCUCUCUGUGGAGCAAUCUCAGAGAGCAGUAAGGUGUGACGCGGGGCUCUGCCGGCUUCGCAGCACCGCCUGCGGAAAGAGCGCAGGAUGGCGGAGGAAGAUUAAGAGAAAUCGCGAGCAGGGCUGGGCUGCCAUUGGUGUGUGCAAACGCCGAGGAGGAAGGGAGAGGGAGAGCAAGGAGGUGGGGGUAGAAGGGGCGGGGGGACCAGCAGCUGUCGGCCUAAUUCUUCUAACACUCUGCUUGUGGUCAUAUUAGAAAAACAGAUUAUGCCCCUCGGUGCCACUCACUUAUACUUGACAAUAGUUAAUGUUCUCUAUCUCCAUUCGCAGGUCUUGACGACAGUGGACUUCAGGUCAAGGAGGAUGGGGGUGUGGGUGGCCGAGGGGCACCCAAGGCCUACCCCUCCUGCUCUCCUGACCCCAGUCUAUACUAGCCCUCUAGGAAGCAAGUCUGGGCCAUAAUUUCAUCUGAUGCUACCAUUUGGCUCUGCUUUUUGCAGCCCUUUAGGAGAUGCAGAGGUCAGAGGACACCUGGAAGCCCUUUCCCCUGGAAAGUCACUGCCCCUUUAGAGUCUUAAUAGGUCACAUUAGGUCGAAGUAAGACCAGCUUUGUGGCACCCCUUCCUCUACCCUUUCUGUGGGCCCUACCCCUCAAUCCAGAAGUUGAGGGGUAGAGAAAGCGGUCCAUGAUAGUGCUCCAUGAGAGGGCUACAGAAAAGCCAUAAACAAAACAAGGCCAGGAUUGUUUCUAGGUUGCUAUGGAAACCAGGUUCCCUCCUCCUGGCAGAAAGGGAGGACUGCCUGAGGCUUGCCUCCUUCCACCAAUCCGGAAGGCUGUAAAGGUGGAGUUUGCUAAGGCCCUAAGAAUAGAGGCCUGGUCUUGGAGGACAAACCAACCAUUCCCAGUAGCACUGUCUGCCAGACCACAGCCCUCUGACCUCCACCUUCCUUACCCUCUCACCCCAAAAUUCAGUCAAAGGAGGCUUUUCCUCUCAGUGCCUUGUCCUCUAUGGAGACCUGUUGCUUAGCAACCACUAGUGCCUUCUUCCUAAUAACUUGCAGGGACUGAGAGAUAUAAUAUCUGUCUCUAUAUUGAAUCCCCCUCCCCGUCUAUUAUAUUUAAUAACUGAAGCCCUGUCUUGGGUUCUCUUGGCACUUGUUUUAGAGUACUUUUAGAUGGAGUGAGCUACAGGCUGAAGAAAUAAAGUUGUACUUUAUGAAGAACUUCCAAGCAGGCAAGAGUGGGAGAAAAGACUGGAGUAGAUAGGGAAGCUGUGGAGCGAUAUUUUUUUAGGUGUAUGUGGGGGCGGGGGGGAGCACUGAGAACUUGGAAUGUGCGGGAAGGAUGUCUACAGGGCUUCCCAAGGGUCUGUUCAGGAGCCCGGGGUGGACCCUGAAAACUGCUUCCUGGCUGGGCACUUCCCACCCCCCACACCCUGUCCUGCCCUCCUUCCUAGCAACUCGCAGUCUGGAGCCCUCUCAUAUUUCUGUACGUGGGAGGUCCACCCCUCUGGGGCUGUCCAGUUUCCUAGCACCUGCAUGUUGGUAUCCGGGAGGGGGCUGUGUGGAUGUAUGUCCAGCAAGGCCUGGGUGUCUCCCAAAGUUUUUCAUCCACAGGGAAGGGAUUCUGAGCUCCCUCCUAGGAAGCUCCAGAGCUGACCUAGCAGUGGGGGCUGCAUAGUAUCACGGAAAAUGAGGAGCACGGAAGGCCUGCGUGUAGCCUAUGGGCUGCGUGUGGAGUCAGAAGGCCUGGGUCUGAGCCCCCUCUUCCUGUUCUCCUGUGACCCUAGUUAUUCAGUUAACCUUUCCCUUGUGCUUCAUCUGCAGAUCAGAAAUCAUGUUUACCUCCUUGGACUUUUGUGGGGUCAAUUUAAAGUAAUAUGUGAAAGGAAACACUCUGAAAACUGACGACUUUAACUAAAAUAUUAGUUUAAGGUCUGGAAGAGGUCUAAUUGCUGGGAAGAGGGAGGCAUCAUUAAUCCAGUCUCGCCCCAGGCUAGGAACGCCAUUAGCUUUUUAGCCAGAGAGGCAUGAUUCUUUGCCCUCUAUUUGGUGGGGUGGGGAGCUGUAAAUCAAAAUCAAACACAAGUCUGUCUAGGGAAAGUAGCACGCAGUGUCCCUAUCAUCUUCCCCGCCUCCAGUCCCCAACUCUGACCUUUAGUCCUGAGUGGCCAAGACAAAAGUCCUGCCGACACCCCACCCUGAACCUUCCAUCCUUCUGGGUCAGCACCUUCCCUGCAUUUGUGCUGGCUCACAGACUGUGCGGUUUCACCCUCAUACCCCCCUUCUCAGCACCUCCUCCAACCCGAGCCUUCUGUGGGAGACAGAUGGGGUGUCUGCAAUGGAAAAGGCUCUGGGCUCUACGCCGCCUUGGGUGGGCAGCCCCCUCCCCAUCUCCCACUACUCCCCCUUUCCCUACCUAAGACACUCAGAUUCACCCUGGGCAGCUUUGGGAGCUACUGAGAAUUCCAACUCUCUUCCUUCUCAGACUCAGCUCAAGAAGCAGAGCCAGCAUGGCAUCUUUCUCCAAGACCUAGACCCCAUCCCCUCUUCGUAGAAGACCGAUGUAAGGAGGAAAUAGACUAGGGAAUGGUAGAGCUCUGUGUGAAGGAACUAAUGUGGAGAGGCUCGGAAUCCCUCACUGAGGACUGGGUGGCUGGGCUUGGGGCCUGAGUUGACAGAGGAGGCUGAGCCUAGGCAGCUCCUUUGUUCCAGAAAUCUGGGGUCCCUGGAGGGAGGCUUAGCUUGGGGAGGGGGAGAAAGGGAGCUAACACUACAGAGCACCAACUGUGAGCCAGGCAUGAUGCCAGAGCCUUUCCAUACUUGUAGUCACAACUAGCAGGUGAGGAGUCAGGACGAAUAGGUGUCUCAGGAGCUCUCAGCACCUCGGCGCAGUUGACCUCCUCCCCCUCUGAUUCUGUGAUGUCACUGCCAGUUCUCCCCUUACUCUGGCCGCUCCUUCUAUCUCCCUUGCAAACUCAUCCUCGGCAACUUGGGCUCAGCCAAGGCCUUUGAUUAUAUACUUUCAUGGUACUGUAUAUCCUUUCAGCGCACUUAGAACAGUUACUUCACACUUAUUUGUGCAGCCGUUUGAAUAAUCUUAUUUCCCCUCCAGAUGGAAAGUUCCACAAGAACAACGACCAUGUCUGUCUGUUCACCAGUUGCUCCCAGCGCCCAGCACAGCGCCUGGCAUAAAGCAGCUAUUUGGUAAACAUUUGUUGAGUGAAUGAAUAAAUGA